rnacentral:rRNA from 1 species
UACGAAGGGGGCUAGCGUUGCUCGGAAUCACUGGGCGUAAAGCGCGCGCAGGCGGAUUGUUAAGUCAGGGGUGAAAUCCUGGAGCUCAACUCCAGAACUGCCUUUGAUACUGGCGAUCUCGAGUCCGGGAGAGGUGAGUGGAACUGCGAGUGUAGAGGUGAAAUUCGUAGAUAUUCGCAAGAACACCAGUGGCGAAGGCGGCUCACUGGCCCGGUACUGACGCUGAGGUGCGAAAGCGUGGGGAGCAAACAGG